rnacentral:lncRNA from 1 species
ACAAAAAGGACAAAAAAACCCAGUAAUGGUAAUAAAAAAUAUAAAAUAUUCAGAAGUAAACUAAAUGGUAAAUAGUACUCAAAUUUACCGACAGAGGAAAUGGAUGAAUGGAGGAGAGUACCAUGCUGCUGGAUGGAAAGACAUAAUAUUGUAAUAAUGCAAACUCUCUUCAAGUUAAUCUAUAAAAUGGACACAAUAUCAGUCAAAAUUCCAGUGGAAUUUUUGGAGGAAAGGAAGGGGCAAAUUUGACAAAAUGAUUGUAAAUUUCACCAUGAAGAAUAAAUGCUUCAGAAUAGCCAAUUCAUAUUUUGAAGAAAGGCAUCGAUAAGGGACCUUGCUCUAUUAGACACAAAAACCUAUAUAGGAAAAGACAAAUGGGUGGUAUAUAUUAAAAGUUUUUUUUUUAAGUACAUACCCUUUGCCCAGACAUUCCACUUCUGGAAAAUUUCCCUGAGAAAUAACUAGAUAGUAUAUGGCUAAGAUAUUUAUUGAAACAUUGUCUAUAAUGUUAUAAUGCCAAUCCAAUUAAAAACAUUGAUUGUUUGACAAGUAGAGGAUGGUUUUAACCAAGUAUGGUUUAAAUAAAUUCCUGUGGAAUACCACAGAGCUCUUAAGCAUGAUGUAGAACUACAUUAAUUGAUAUGGAAGGUGAUCGCCAUAUAUUGUUAUGUUUUUUAAAAAGCUGAUUACAAAACAGAUGUCUAAUACUAUCCACAUUUUUGUAAAAUAAAAAUUGGCAUAUACCUGUGAAGAAAAAAACCUAGAUGGAAGAUUAUAUAUCAAAAUGUUAACAAUAGUUCUGCAUCUGUACACUGAAAAAUGGUAUGCUUUCCCCAAAAUGGGAUGGUACUUAAAUUCCUCAUUACUGCCACCUGGUGGCAACCAAGGGAGAUUUCUAAUUUCUUUUCUACCACCUUGAGUACAAUGCACGUAACAUCAUAAUUAUAUAAAGUUAUAAAGAAAUCUUCAGUAUCACCUGGUUCUAUCCAUCAUUUUGUAGCUGAAGAAAUAAAGGGCAAAGACUUUAAGCCACUUGUCUGAAGUUGCACUGUUAGUGAAAUUUAAUAAUAGUAGCAAACAUUUGUUGAGCCGUUUUGCUAAGUACUUCAAAUGGAUUAUAUCAUUUUAUUGUCACAGGAGCCUAUGAGGUUGGUCCUAUUUUUACUCUCACUUAUCCCUACUUACCAGAUGAGGAUCCUGAGGCUCAGAAAAACUCUUGACAAAAUUCUCAGGGAAAACUCUUCAGCUCUGGAUGUCUCCCUUUUUGUGGAUCAAACACAAAGGGCAUCAUUCUAAAAUAUAUACAGAACCAUAAAAGCCCCAAAUAGCCAAAGCAACCCUGAGCAAAAAGAACAAGGCUGGAAGCAUCACACUACCAGACUUCAAAAUUUACUACAAAGCUCUAAUACCUAAAAUAACAUGGUACUGGCAUUAAAAAAAAAAAAAAAAUAGGCACAUAGACCACCAAUGAAACAGUAUAGAGAAUCUAGAUAUACCAACUCAUCUUUAACAAAGGUGC